rnacentral:ncRNA from 1 species
AGCAAGACGUUGAAGAGAAGAGUAGAAAGUUAUUCAAUCAAUACAGAGACAUUUCGUUUGGUGAGAGAAAUGAGAGAGAAGCUUUCGAACAUGGCCUUGGAGUCAUCACAUCGAGAUUUGUUUUUAGAUUUAGGUUGUGACGGGUGUGCCCGUUAUAGCAUUGCGAGUAUGAUAGUACUCAAUAAGGUCUUUUUAGUGAUAAAAAGAUGAAUUAAGGUGGUAACACGUGAGUUUUCGCUCUCGUCCUUUGU